GAGAUGGGUGCCCCUUUGUGGUCGGUGUACAGGUGGUGCAUGGUUGUCGUCAGCUCGUGUCGUGAGAUGUUGGGUUAAGUCCCGCAACGAGCGCAACCCUCGUCCUAUGUUGCCAGCGGGUCAUGCCGGGGACUCAUGGGAGACUGCCGGGGUCAACUCGGGAGGAAGGUGGGGAUGACGUCAAAUCAUCAUGCCCCUUAUGUCUUGGGCUUCACGCAUGCUACAAUGGCCGGUACAAAGGGCUGCGAUACCGCGAGGUGGAGCGAAUCCCAGAAAGCCGGUCUCAGUUCGGAUUGGGGUCUGCAACUCGACCCCAUGAAGUCGGAGUCGCUAGUAAUCGCAGAUCAGCAACGCUGCGGUGAAUACGUUCCCGGGCCUU
rnacentral:rRNA from 1 species